UACGAAGGGGGCUAGCGUUGCUCGGAAUGACUGGGCGUAAAGGGCGCGUAGGCGGUUUGGACAGUCAGAUGUGAAAUUCCUGGGCUCAACCUGGGGGCCGCAUUUGAUACGUUCGGACUAGAGUGGGGAAGAGGGUCGUGGAAUUCCCAGUGUAGAGGUGAAAUUCGUAGAUAUUGGGAAGAACACCGGUGGCGAAGGCGGCGACCUGGUCCUUGACUGACGCUGAGGCGCGAAAGCGUGGGGAGCAGACAGG
rnacentral:rRNA from 1 species